rnacentral:rRNA from 1 species
GUUAGGAAUAUUGGACAAUGGGCGAAAGCCUGAUCCAGCCAUGCCGCGUGAACGAUGAAGGCCUUCGGGUUGUAAAGUUCUUUAGCCGAUGAUUAUAAUGACUGUAGUCGGAAAAUAAGCCCCGGCUAACUUCGUGCCAGCAGCCGCGGUAAUACGAAGGGGGCGAGCGUUAUUCGGAAUCACUGGGCGUAAAGCGUGCGUAGGCGGUUUUGUAAGUUAGGAGUGAAAGCCAAGGGCUCAACCUUGGAAUUGCUCUUAAAACUGCAAGGCUCGAAUCUCGGAGAGGAUAGCGGAAUUUCCAGUGUAGCAGUGAAAUGCGUAGAUAUUGGAAGGAACACCAGUGGCGUAAGCGGCUAUCUGGACGAGUAUUGACGCUGAGGCACGAAAGCGUGGGGAUCAAACAGGAUUAGAAACCCCGGUAGUCC